rnacentral:rRNA from 1 species
CAGUCGCCGCGGGAAUACGAAGGGGGCUAGCGUUGUUCGGAUUUACUGGGCGUAAAGGGCGCGUAGGCGGACUGAUAAGUCAGGGGUGAAAUCCCAAGGCUCAACCUUGGAACUGCCUUUGAUACUGUUUGUCUUGAGUUCGAGAGAGGUAAGUGGAACUGCGAGUGUAGAGGUGAAAUUCGUAGAUAUUCGCAAGGACACCAGUGGCGAAGGCGGCUUACUGGCUCGAUACUGACGCUGAGGCGCGAAAGCGUGGGGAGCAAACAGGAUUAGAGACCCCCGUAGUCCCUGUCUCUUAUAC